rnacentral:rRNA from 1 species
CCGACGGUGAGGGAUGAAACCUAGGGGCACGAACCGGAUUAGAUACCCGGGUAGUCCUAGGUGUAAACGCUGUGGACUUGAUGUUGGGGGCGCUCCGAGCGCUCUCAGUGUCGAAGCGAAGGUGAUAAGUCCACUGCCUGGGGAGUACGGUCGCAAGGCUGAAACUUAAAGGAAUUGGCGGGGGAGCACUGCAACCUGAGGAUUGUGCGGUUUAAUUGGAUUCAACGCCGGAAAACUCACCAUGGCCGACGGACAAAUGAAAGCCAGUGUAACGAGCUUGCUGGAUUGUUCGAGAGGUAUUGCAUGGCCGCCGUCAGUUCGUACCGCAAGGCGUUCUGUUAAGUCAGAUAACGAACGAGACCCUCAUCCCUAUUUGCCAGCUGCGUCUCCGGACGUAGCGCACUAUAGGGAGACCGCUGUCGAUAAGGCAGAUGAAGGCGAGGGCAACGGUAGGUCAGUAUGAUCCGAAUGCUAUGGGCUACACGCGCAAUACAAAGGACGGGACAAUGGGCUGCUGCUCCGAAAGGAACGAUAGCUAUCCCGAAACCCGUUCGUAGUUCGGAUUGAGGGCUGUAACUCGCCCUCAUGAAGCUGGAUUAGGUAGUAAUCGCGUCUCAAAAAGGCGCGGUGAAUAUGCCCCUGCUCCUUGUACACACCGCCCGU